GACGAACGCUGGCGGCGUGCCUAAUACAUGCAAGUCGAGCGAGUCUGCCUUGAAGAUCGGAGUGCUUGCACUCUGUGAAACAAGAUACAGGCUAGCGGCGGACGGGUGAGUAACACGUGGGUAACCUGCCCAAGAGAUCGGGAUAACACCUGGAAACAGAUGCUAAUACCGGAUAACAACAGAUGAUGCCUAUCAACUGUUUAAAAGAUGGUUCUGCUAUCACUCUUGGAUCGACCUGCGGUGCAUUAGCGAGUUGGUAGGGUAAAGGCCUAACAAGGCGAUGAUGCAUAGCCGAGUUGAGAGACUGAUCGGCCACAUUGGGACUGAGACACGGCCCAAACUCCUACGGGAGGCAGCAGUAGGGAAUCUUCCACAAUGGACGCAAGUCUGAUGGAGCAACGCCGCGUGAGUGAAGAAGGGUUUCGGCUCGUAAAGCUCUGUUGUUAGUGAAGAAGGACAGGGGUAGUAACUGACCUUUGUUUGACGGUAAUCAAUUAGAAAGUCACGGCUAACUAAGUG
rnacentral:rRNA from 1 species